UACUCGAGUGGCGAACGGGUGAGUAACACGUGGGUAAUCUGCCCUGCACUCUGGGAUAAGCCUGGGAAACUGGGUCUAAUACUGGAUAUGACCUUUCUCCUUAUGGGGUUUGGUGGAAAGUUUUUCGGUGUAGGAUGAGCCCGCGGCCUAUCAGCUUGUUGGUGGGGUGAUGGCCUACCAAGGCGACGACGGGUAGCCGGCCUGAGAGGGUGAUCGGCCACAUUGGGACUGAGAUACGGCCCAGACUCCUACGGGAGGCAGCAGUGGGGAAUAUUGCACAAUGGGCGGAAGCCUGAUGCAGCGACGCCGCGUGAGGGAAGACGGCCUUCGGGUUGUAAACCUCUUUCAGC
rnacentral:rRNA from 1 species